rnacentral:rRNA from 1 species
GACGAACGCUGGCGGCGUGCUUAACACAUGCAAGUCGAACGGAAAGGCCCUGCUUUUGUGGGGUGCUCGAGUGGCGAACGGGUGAGUAACACGUGAGUAACCUGCCCUUGACUUUGGGAUAACUUCAGGAAACUGGGGCUAAUACCGGAUAGGAGCUCCUGCUGCAUGGUGGGGGUUGGAAAGUUUCGGCGGUUGGGGAUGGACUCGCGGCUUAUCAGCUUGUUGGUGGGGUAGUGGCUUACCAAGGCUUUGACGGGUAGCCGGCCUGAGAGGGUGACCGGCCACAUUGGGACUGAGCUACGGCCCAGAAUCCAACGGGAGGCAGCAGUGGGGAAUAUUGCACAAUGGGCGGAAGCCUGAUGCAGCAACGCCGCGUGCGGGAUGACGGCCUUCGGGUUGUAAACCGCUUUCGCCUGUGACGAAGCGUGAGUGACGGUAAUGGGUAAAGAAGCACCGGCUAACUACGUG